AAUUAGAAAUGGAGAUAAAAAAGAAAAAUAUCAUUAAGAUUGGGAAUAAACCCCACAACAAACCGUUAUUCCACCCAUUGCUAUCGCCUCUGCGGCUCUAUCUCCGCCGCCCCUCCUCCACCGCGCUCCGUCGUUGUUCCUUCACCAUGCUCACCGUCGUUGCUCCACUGUCGUAAUCUGCUUCCUGGAUAUCUCUCUGGCAAAAGGAGACAUGUCAAAAUUGUGGAGUUUCUUAUUAAACAUUGUGCUAGAAUUGGUUUCAAUCGAGGAAUUCUCUACGUUGCACUUUGCAGCUCUAAAAUUUGUGGACAACCCUCUGUAUGUGCAGUCAAGUUUGAUCAUUUGAAUUCCUGAGGUUUCUGCUUGAGAUAUCUUUGAAAAUUUUAACGUUACUAUGCUUUGUUUAACCACCUUACGCUUAUACCUAUUCAGUUCAGAAGGAUGAAAUUCGGUUAAUUUGAAAGUAUGGUGAUGUUUUCUUCCCUUUUAUGUGAAAUUCAUUGUAUUUAUUUACCUUGGAGCAUCUGCCUUCAAUCUUGUUGCAGGAGAUAGGCCAGUUGAUGUUUACUUGGGGUUUGUUGCAAGUUAAUAUGUUGAAAGCGUGAGGACAUUAAGCAAUUGGUUUUGUGGUGGCUUAAUCACUAUACUUUUUCAUGGAUUCUUAGUCUAAGUACAUUCAUUAAGUUGGCUUGAUGGGUUAUUAACUUUUGUUUUCAAAGUGAUAAUCUUCAAUUAUUUCAGCAGAUUGGUCCCAAUUCCAGCUAGGUAUGUAAGUGCUUGGACUUUUAAACUCGAGUACUUGGAACAUAUAUCAAAAUAAAAGGUGGAAUAAGUGUUAAAAGUUCGUAGUAUUGUUGGCUAUUUCAGCUUAGAACUCUAUCAAACGUUUGACAUUUGGUUUUGUUCCUAUUGAGGUUACUUUCUUGCUUGCUUUUUACAAUGUUAUCUCUAAUUGCUCCAUGAUGAUGACUCAUAGAUACUUUCGGUUCUACUGCGCUUUGAUGGUCAGCUAGAAGUAGAUGAAGAGUUGCACCAAUUAACCUUUCUUCAAUACGAUUUGCCUCAAUGGCGGAGGCGGGAGCGGGAGCAGGAGCUGGAUGCCGAGAUUGAUGGCCCCACCAAUCUCAUGGCCACGCCUCUGCUCACUAAUCUCUAUCAAUUCUCCAUGGCCUACACUUGCUGGAAAGCUGCCAAGUACAAUAAGCACGAUGUGUAUCUCAAUUUUGGAUUGCUAAAUUGUUGUGCUUAGCUUAAUUUCAUUAUACUUUGUUUUGUUUGAAGUCUCUAGUGGUUUUGGUACA